ACACGGAGAUAACCAGUCCAUGCCCAAAAUGAUUGUAUACCCGCAUUAUACUGGUGGGCGACCUAGAACAUGAAAUGAAAACAUAAAUGCAUACCCGCAUUAUACUGGUGGGCGACCUAGAACAUGAAAUGAAAACAUAAUUUUAUACCCGCAUUAUACUGGUGGGAGACCUAGAACAUGAAAUGAAAAGAGAAAUGCAUACCCGCAUUAUACUGGUGGGCGACCUAGAACAUGAAAUGAAAACAUAAAUGCAUACCCGCAUUAUACUGGUGGGCGACCUAGAACAUGAAAUGAAAACAUAAAUGCAUACCCGCAUUAUACUGGUGGGUGACCUAGAACAUGAAAUG
rnacentral:lncRNA from 1 species